GCCAAGUUGUCCAUUAAUAAAAUCUUGUAUAUCAUUCCACAGGGAAGAGCUAUAUGAACAACUAUAGAAUAAAUGGUCUAGCGUUUCUGUUUCCAUAAAGCAAAAACUGCAUUUAUCGUCUACAGUAGGGAUGAAUUUACAGAUAAUUUUGUUGCAGGGGUAAUAAUGGUGAAGAAUUUUAAAUGAUAUUUCUUUCACUUUGUUCGUAAUUAAAAAUUUAUGUGGGUUAUUCCAUGCUCUAUUCCAAUUAAUAUUUUCAUACAAGGGGGACCAUUUGUAUCUGGAGGCAGGGAUAGAUUUUGCACAUAAAAGGUUUUUUAUUACUUUGUUGUUAAAUUUUCUGUCUAGAAACGAUAGACCAUUUAUUGAAACACUGCUGGAGAGAGAUUUAUUAAAUUGAUCCAAAACUGUCUCAUUUCUAAGUAGGGUGAUGAUCCCUUGGGGUAUAGCUUUGGUUACAAUAUCAAAUUCUUUUCUUGGAGGCUGGAAAUUAAAUUUAUGGGUGAAGUCGUCAUAAGUUAAAAUUUGAUUUGAGUUAUUUAAUAAUUGGGAUACCAGUAGAAUAUCAUGUUUAAACCAGUUUUCUAUGAAGAGAGUCUUGUUUCUAUAUAUGAUGUUCAUGUUGUUCCAUAUAAAACAUUUGUGAGGGGAGAAGUUGUGUUUGUAUAGAAGAGACCAAUAAGUUAGAGCCUGUUUAUGGAAGUUGGAUAGUUUUACUGGCAUUCUGUUGAUGGAGUAUGGGCAUUGAAGCAAGAAUGUAAUUUUACCAAGUUUUUCAAAAAUAAAGUUUGGCACAAUAUUCCAUAAACUGUUUGGAUUUUUCAAAAAUCUUUUAAUCCAAUUUAUUUUUAAUAUCUCAUUGAAGAGUGAGAAGUCAAUUACCGAUAAACCUCCCUCUUCAAUUUUAUUAGUCAAGAUGUUUUUCCUAAUUUUAUGGGGUUUCUUCCUCCAUAUAAAGUUAUACAAUAGUUUGUCUAGAUUGGCACAUUGUAACUUGGGUAUUUCAAUUGAAGAGAAUAAAUAUGCUGCUCGUGAGAGACCUUCUGCUUUAGAAAGAAGAACCCUGCCAUACAUAGAUAAAUCUCUUGCAAGCCAGGAGUCAAACUUUUUAUUAAUAGAGUUGUGUAGUAAAGAAAUAUUACUUUCUGUCAUCAACUUUUGAUUAUGACCUAUUUUUAUUCCAAGAUAUGUUACUAAAUUAUUUAUAUUUAUGCCAUAUAGUUGACCCGAAUGUUUAUUUUUCAGAGAAAAGAGCUCACAUUUUGAAAGAUUUAGAUUCAAGCCUGAGCUUUCAGAAAAUUGGUUUAAGACAUUUAGUGCAACUCCAAUUUGGGAUUUAUUUUUUAGAAACAGGGUUGUGUCAUCGGCCAGCUGUGAAAUUUUUAUUUCUCUUUCAUUUAAUGUUAUUCCUUUGAAUGAACUCUUGUGAAUUAAAUCAC
ensembl:lncRNA